rnacentral:rRNA from 1 species
GACGAACGCUGGCGGCGUGCUUAACACAUGCAAGUCGAACGGAAAGGCCCUGCUUGCAGGGUACUCGAGUGGCGAACGGGUGAGUAACACGUGGGUGAUCUGCCCUGCACUUCGGGAUAAGCCUGGGAAACUGGGUCUAAUACCGGAUAGGAGCCAUUUUUAGUGUGAUGGUUGGAAAGUUUUUUCGGUGUAGGAUGAGCUCGCGGCCUAUCAGCUUGUUGGUGGGGUAAUGGCCUACCAAGGCGGCGACGGGUAGCCGGCCUGAGAGGGUGGACGGCCACAUUGGGACUGAGAUACGGCCCAGAGUCCUACGGGAGGCAGCAGUGGGGAAUAUUGCACAAUGGGCGCAAGCCUGAUGCAGCGACGCCGCGUGGGGGAUGACGGCCUUCGGGUUGUAAACUCCUUUCGCUAGGGACGAAGCUUUUGUGACGGUACCUAGAUAAGAAGCACCGGCUAACUACGUG